CACGUAGGGCGCAAGCGUUGUCCGGAUUUACUGGGCGUAAAGGGCGCGUAGGCGGUCAGCACAAGUCAGUUGUGAAAUCUCCGGGCUUAACUCGGAAAGGUCAACUGAUACUGUGCGACUAGAGUGCAGAAGGGGCAACUGGAAUUCUCGGUGUAGCGGUGAAAUGCGUAGAUAUCGAGAGGAACACCUGCGGCGAAGGCGGGUUGCUGGGCUGACACUGACGCUGAUGCGCGAAAGCCAGGGGAGCGAACGGG
rnacentral:rRNA from 1 species